rnacentral:rRNA from 1 species
AACGAACGCUGGCGGCAUGCCUAACACAUGCAAGUCGAACGAGACCUUCGGGUCUAGUGGCGCACGGGUGCGUAACGCGUGGGAACCUGCCCUUAGGUUCGGAAUAACUCCCCGAAAGGGGUGCUAAUACCGGAUAAUGUCUUCGGACCAAAGAUUUAUCGCCUUUGGAUGGGCCCGCGUUGGAUUAGCUAGUUGGUAGGGUAAAAGCCUACCAAGGCGACGAUCCAUAGCUGGUCUGAGAGGAUGACCAGCCACACUGGGACUGAGACACGGCCCAGACUCCUACGGGAGGCAGCAGUGGGGAAUAUUGGACAAUGGGCGAAAGCCUGAUCCAGCCAUGCCGCGUGAGUGAUGAAGGCCUUAGGGUUGUAAAGCUCUUUUACCCGGGAUGAUAAUGACAGUACCGGGAGAAUAAGCUCCGGCUAACUCCGUG